GGUCUUAUAGUCAAAUUAUGAUGUUAGAUUGCAAUUCUAAAGUUGUUUAAACACUAAGGCCU
rnacentral:tRNA from 1 species